rnacentral:rRNA from 1 species
UCCAGACUCCUACGGGAGGCAGCAGUGAGGAAUAUUGGUCAAUGGGCGGGAGCCUGAACCAGCCAAGUCGCGUGAGGGAUGACGGUCCUAUGGAUUGUAAACCUCUUUUGUCAGGGAGCAAAGGGCGCCACGUGUGGCGUUUUGCGAGUACCUGAAGAAAAAGCAUCGGCUAGCUCCGUGCCAGCAGCCGCGGUAAUACGGAGGAUGCGAGCGUUAUCCGGAUUUAUUGGGUUUAAAGGGUGCGCAGGCGGAAUGUCAAGUCAGCGGUAAAAUUUCGGGGCUCAACCCCGUCGUGCCGUUGAAACUGGCGUUCUUGAGUGAGCGAGAAGUAUGCGGAAUGCGUGGUGUAGCGGUGAAAUGCAUAGAUAUCACGCAGAACUCCGAUUGCGAAGGCAGCAUACCGGCUCCACACUGACGCUGAGGCACGAAAGCGUGGGUAUCGAACAGGAUUAGAUACCCCGGUA